GAUGAACGCUGGCGGCGUGCCUAAUACAUGCAAGUCGAGCGAAUGGAUUGAGAGCUUGCUCUUAUGAAGUUAGCGGCGGACGGGUGAGUAACACGUGGGUAACCUGCCCAUAAGACUGGGAUAACUCCGGGAAACCGGGGCUAAUACCGGAUAACAUUUUGAACCGCAUGGUUCGAAAUUGAAAGGCGGCUUCGGCUGUCACUUAUGGAUGGACCCGCGUCGCAUUAGCUAGUUGGUGAGGUAACGGCUCACCAAGGCAACGAUGCGUAGCCGACCUGAGAGGUGGGUCGGCCACACUGGGACUGAGACACGGCCCAGAGUCCUACGGGAGGCAGAAGUAGGGAAUCUUCAGCAAUGGACGAAAGUCUGACGGAGCAACGCCGCGUGAGUGAUGAAGGCUUUCGGGUCGUAAAACUCUGUUGUUAGGGAAGAACAAGUGCUAGUUGAAUAAGCUGGCACCUUGACGGUACCUAACCAGAAAGCCACGGCUAACUACGUGCCAGCCGCCGCAGUAA
rnacentral:rRNA from 1 species